AAUGUCGUAACAAGGUUUCCGUAGGUGAACCUGCGGAAGGAUCAUUACAGAUAAAGGCUGGUAGGAAGUGGGGUUCUUGAUCUGUAAGAGGUAGAGCGAACAGUCCGGCUGCCUCCCGAAACUGUCUUACAUGUCCCCCAAUCAGCCUGAAGGCCGAAUUACAACCCUUGAUCAUCUACACUUGUUGCUUUCGGGGAUGCCCCAAUGUGCCCCCGAGAGGACCCCGAACUCUCUUGCAUUUAGUGACGUCCGAGCUAUAUAAUAUUUAAAAU
rnacentral:misc_RNA from 1 species